GGGUAGAGCACUGUUAUGGCUAGGGGGUCAUCGCGACUUACCAAACCAUUGCAAACUCCGAAUACCGAGACGGACUGUAUGGGAGACACACGGCGGGUGCUAACGUCCGUCGUGAAAAGGGAAACAACCCAGACCCACAGCUAAGGUCCCAAAUUUUGUGCUAAGUGGAAAACCAUGUGGAAAGGCACAGACAGCCAGGAGGUUGGCUUAGAAGCAGCCACCCUUUAAAGAAAGCGUAAUAGCUCACUGGUCGAGUCGGUCUGCGGGGAAGAUUUAAC
rnacentral:rRNA from 1 species